rnacentral:rRNA from 1 species
AGUUGUAUUUGUAGAGGACGUUUCGGGAGCGGCGCCGGUCUAAGUCCCUUGGAACAGGGCGUCAUAGAGGGUGAGAAUCCCGUAUGUGACCGGUGACCAACCCCAUGUGAAACCCCUUCGACGAGUCGAGUUGUUUGGGAAUGCAGCUCAAAAUGGGUGGUAAAUUUCAUCUAAAGCUAAAUACCGGCCAGAGACCGAUAGCGCACAAGUAGAGUGAUCGAAAGAUGAAAAGCACUUUGGAAAGAGAGUCAAACAGUACGUGAAAUUGUUGAAAGGGAAGCGCUGGCAACCAGACCUGUCCGCGGGCUUCAGCCCCCGUUCUCGGGGGUGUACUUGUCCGCGAUCAGGCCAGCAUCGGUUCGGGCGGUUGGAUAAAGGCCUUGGGAAUGUAGCUUCUUUCGGGAAGCCUUAUAGCCCUCGGCGCAAUGCGGCCAGCCCGGACCGAGGACCGCGCUUCGGCUAGGAUGCUGGCGUAAUGGUUGUCAGCG